GACGAACGCUGGCGGCGUGCUUAACACAUGCAAGUCGAACGGGCCCGCUCUCUUUUUUGGGGGUGGGUUGAGUGGCGAACGAGUGAGUAUCACGUGAGUAACCUGCCCCCUGCUCCUGGAUAACUGCUUGAAAGGGCGGCUAAUACGGGGUGUGCCGGCUGGUCCGCAUGGGCCUGGUCGGGAUAGUUUCAUCUUCGGGUGUUUCGGUGGGGGAUGGGCUCGCGGCCUAUCAGCUUGUUGGUGGGGUGAUGGCCCACCAAGGCGGUGACGGGUAGCCGGCCUGAGAGGGUGGGCGGCCACACUGGGACUGAGACACGGCCCAGACUCCUGCGGGAGGCAGCAGUGGGGGGUAUUGCGCAAUGGGCGGAAGCCUGAUGCAGCGACGUCGCGUGAGGGAUGGAGGCCUUCGGGUUGUGAACCUCUUUCUCCGGUGGUGAAGGCCCUGUCCGUUGCGGCGGGGUUGACGGUAGCCGGGUAUGAAGCGCCGGCUAACUACGUG
rnacentral:rRNA from 1 species